rnacentral:rRNA from 1 species
GUUGAACGCUGGCGGCAGGCCUAACACAUCCAAGUCGAGCGGAUGAAGGGAACGUUCUCCUUUAUUCAGCUACGGGCGGGUGAGUAAGUCCUAGGAAGCUACCUUGUAGUUAAGGAUAACGUCCGGAAGCGGACGCGAAUAUCACAUACGUCCUUAGUUAGAAAGGGAGGGUUCAUCAGACCUCACCCUUCCUGAUGAGCCUAGGUCGUAUUAGCUAGUUGGUUGGGUAAAGGCCUACCAAGGCGACGAUCCGUAACUGGCCUGAGAGGAUGAUCAGUCACACUGGAACUGAGACACGGUCCAGACUCCUACGGGAGGCAGCAGUGGGGAAUCUUGGACAAUGGGCGAAAGCCUGACGCAGCCACGCCGCGUGUGUGAAGAAGGUCUUCGGAUCGUAAAGCACUUUAAGUUGGGAGGAAGGGCAGUAAGAGAAUCCCUUGAUGUCUUGACGUUACCAAAAGAAUAAGCCCCGGCUAACUUCGUG